AACGCUGGCGGCGUGCCUAAUACAUGCAAGUCGAACGAGUUCUCGUUGAUGAUCGGUGCUUGCACCGAGAUUCAACAUGGAACGAGUGGCGGACGGGUGAGUAACACGUGGGUAACCUGCCCUUAAGUGGGGGAUAACAUUUGGAAACAGAUGCUAAUACCGCAUAGAUCCAAGAACCGCAUGGUUCUUGGCUGAAAGAUGGCGUAAGCUAUCGCUUUUGGAUGGACCCGCGGCGUAUUAGCUAGUUGGUGAGGUAAUGGCUCACCAAGGCGAUGAUACGUAGCCGAACUGAGAGGUUGAUCGGCCACAUUGGGACUGAGACACGGCCCAAACUCCUACGGGAGGCAGCAGUAGGGAAUCUUCCACAAUGGACGCAAGUCUGAUGGAGCAACGCCGCGUGAGUGAAGAAGGCUUUCGGGUCGUAAAACUCUGUUGUUGGAGAAGAAUGGUCGGCAGAGUAACUGUUGUCGGCGUGACGGUAUCCAACCAGAAAGCCACGGCUAACUACGUGCCAGCAGCCGCGGUAAUACGUAGGUGGCAAGCGUUAUCCGGAUUUAUUGGGCGUAAAGCGAGCGCAGGCGGUUUUUUAAGUCUGAUGUGAAAGCCCUCGGCUUAACCGAGGAAGCGCAUCGGAAACUGGGAAACUUGAGUGCAGAAGAGGACAGUGGAACUCCAUGUGUAGCGGUGAAAUGCGUAGAUAUAUGGAAGAACACCAGUGGCGAAGGCGGCUGUCUGGUCUGUAACUGACGCUGAGGCUCGAAAGCAUGGGUAGCGAACAGGAUUAGAUACCCUGGUAGUCCAUGCCGUAAACGAUGAAUGCUAGGUGUUGGAGGGUUUCCGCCCUUCAGUGCCGCAGCUAACGCAUUAAGCAUUCCGCCUGGGGAGUACGACCGCAAGGUUGAAACUCAAAGGAAUUGACGGGGGCCCGCACAAGCGGUGGAGCAUGUGGUUUAAUUCGAAGCAACGCGAAGAACCUUACCAGGUCUUGACAUCUUUUGAUCACCUGAGAGAUCAGGUUUCCCCUUCGGGGGCAAAAUGACAGGUGGUGCAUGGUUGUCGUCAGCUCGUGUCGUGAGAUGUUGGGUUAAGUCCCGCAACGAGCGCAACCCUUAUGACUAGUUGCCAGCAUUUAGUUGGGCACUCUAGUAAGACUGCCGGUGACAAACCGGAGGAAGGUGGGGAUGACGUCAAAUCAUCAUGCCCCUUAUGACCUGGGCUACACACGUGCUACAAUGGAUGGUACAACGAGUUGCGAGACCGCGAGGUCAAGCUAAUCUCUUAAAGCCAUUCUCAGUUCGGACUGUAGGCUGCAACUCGCCUACACGAAGUCGGAAUCGCUAGUAAUCGCGGAUCAGCACGCCGCGGUGAAUACGUUCCCGGGCCUUGUACACACCGCCCGUCACACCAUGAGAGUUUGUAACACCCGAAGCCGGUGGCGUAACCCUUUUAGGGAGCGAGCCGUCUAAGGUGGGACAAAUGAUU
rnacentral:rRNA from 1 species